rnacentral:rRNA from 1 species
UAUGACUCUCGACAAUGGAUAUCUUGGCUCUUGCAUCGAUGAAGAGCGCAGCGAAAUGCGAUACGUGGUGUGAAUUGCAGAAUCCCGUGAACCAUCAAGUCUUUGAACGCAAGUUGCGCCCGAGGCCAAUUGGCUAAGGGCACGUCCGCCUGGGCGUCAAGC